AGAGUUUGAUCCUGGCUCAGAUUGAACGCUGGCGGAAUGCUUUACACAUGCAAGUCGAGCGGCAGCGCGGGGCAACCUGGCGGCGAGCGGCGAACGGGUGAGUAAUGCAUCGGAACAUGUCCAUUCGUGGGGGAUAGCCCGGCGAAAGCCGGAUUAAUACCGCAUAAGCCCUGAGGGGGAAAGCGGGGGACCGUAAGGCCUCGCGCGAAUGGGUUGGCCGAUGCCCGAUUAGCUAGUUGGUGAGGUAAAGGCUUACCAAGGCGAUGAUCGGUAGCUGGUCUGAGAGGAUGAUCAGCCACACUGGGACUGAGACACGGCCCAGACUCCUACGGGAGGCAGCAGUGGGGAAUUUUGGACAAUGGGGGCAACCCUGAUCCAGCCAUUCCGCGUGAGUGAAGAAGGCCUUCGGGUUGUAAAGCUCUUUUGUCCGGAGCGAAAAGGUUACGGUGAAUAUCCGUGACUACUGACGGUACCGGAAGAAUAAGCACCGGCUAACUACGUGCCAGCAGCCGCGGUAAUACGUAGGGUGCGAGCGUUAAUCGGAAUUACUGGGCGUAAAGCGUGCGCAGGCGGUUUUGUAAGCCAGAUGUGAAAUCCCCGGGCUUAACCUGGGAAUGGCAUUUGGGACUGCAAGGCUGGAGUUUGGCAGAGGAGACUGGNAAUUCCUGGUGUAGCA
rnacentral:rRNA from 1 species